rfam:Eutrema salsugineum unplaced genomic scaffold scaffold_1, whole genome shotgun sequence.
UCACUGUCGGGCUCGUAUUCGCUUGAUGCAGGUCGGGAAUCGAUUGGCUGACACGACCACUCGAACUUUUCCUUGUUGGUUUGUGAGUAGUCAUUGGAUCCCGACUUCAUCAACUGAAUCGGAGCCUCGCUGGUGAAA